UACGUAGGGUGCAAGCGUUGUUCGGAAUUAUUGGGCGUAAAGAGCUCGUAGGCGGUUUGUUGCGUCGGCUGUGAAAUCCCGAGGCUCAACCUCGGGUCUGCAGUCGAUACGAGCAAACUAGAGUGUUGCAGGGGAGACUGGAAUUCCUGGUGUAGCGGUGAAAUGCGCAGAUAUCAGGAGGAACACCGGUGGCGAAGGCGGGUCUCUGGGCAACAACUGACGCUGAGGAGCGAAAGCGUUGGGAGCGAACAGG
rnacentral:rRNA from 1 species